rnacentral:rRNA from 1 species
AUUGAACGCUGGCGGCAGGCCUAACACAUGCAAGUCGAACGAGAGGCGGACGGGUGAGUAAGGGAUGGGAAACUGCCUGAUGGAGGGGGAUAAGUACUGGAAACGGUAGCUAAUACCGCAUACCAUCAGAUGUGCCGAGAUGGGAUUAGCUAGUUGGUGGGGUAACGGCUCACCAAGGCGACGAUCCCUAGCUGGUCUGAGAGGGUGACCAGCCACACUGGGACUGAGACACGGUCCAGACUCCUACGGGAGGCAGCAGUGGGGAAUCUUGGACAAUGGGCGAAAGCCUGAUCCAGCCAUGCCGCGUGUGUGAAGAAGGCCUUCGGGUUGUAAAGCUCUUUCGGCAGGGAAGCGGUACCUGCAGAAGAAGCACCGGCUAACUCCGUGCCAGCAGCCGCGGUAAUAC